rnacentral:rRNA from 1 species
UGAGGGAUAUUGGGCAAUGGGCGCAAGCCUGACCCAGCGACGCCGCGUGGAGGACGACGGGCUUCGGCUCGUAAACUCCUUUUCCCGGGGACGAGACAAGGACGGUACCCGGGGAAUAAGUCUCGGCUAACUACGUGCCAGCAGCCGCGGUAAUACGUAGGAGGCAAGCGUUGUCCGGAAUCACUGGGCGUAAAGGGCGCGUAGGCGGUCUGCUAAGCGUGCGGUGAAAGCCCGGGGCUCAACCCCGGGUCUGCCGUGCGAACUGGUGGACUAGGGCACUAUAGAGGCAGGUGGAAUUCCGGGUGUAGCGGUGGAAUGCGUAGAGAUCCGGAAGAACACCGGUGGCGAAGGCGGCCUGCUGGGCAGUAGCUGACGCUGAGGCGCGACAGCGUGGGGAGCAAACA